ACUCUCUGUGAUAACCAACAGACCAGUCAAAGUUGAGAGGGGGAGAAAGAACAAGAGGCCUUUGAUCCAUCCUGUAACAUUGUAUGUGUUGCACCCUAACUCAAUUUUUAAAAAGAAGACAACAAGACAACAAGCAUGUGGUGUCAUCGGGCAUCAAGGCAGGAAACACCCUGGACGGAGUGCCAACCCAUCGCAGGGCACACACACUCUCAUUCACUCACACAAUCACACACUACGGACAAUUUUCCAGAGAUGCCAAUCAACCUACCAUGCAUGUCUUUGGACCGGGGGAGGAAACCGGAGUACCCGGAGGAAACCCCCGAGGCACGGGGAGAACAUGCAAACUCCACACACAAGGCGGAGCCACCAACCACCAACCCUGGAGGUGUGAGUCGACCGUGCCCCCCCAAUAGGUUUCUGACUUCAACCAUUUG